rnacentral:rRNA from 1 species
GUGAACCUGCGGAAGGAUCAUUAUUGAAAUAAACCUGAUGGGUUGUUGCUGGCUCUCCAGAGAGCAUGUGCACGCCUUGUCAUCUUUAUAUCUCCACCUGUGCACCUUUUGUAGACCCAGGAUAUCUUUCCAGGUGUCUAUGUUGCCUAUUCAUUUACCCCAAUGUAUGUUAAUAGAAUGUUGUGUCCAUUGAUAAAAUAUAUACAACUUUCAGCAACGGAUCUCUUGGCUCUCGCAUCGAUGAAGAACGCAGCGAAAUGCGAUAAGUAAUGUGAAUUGCAGAAUUCAGUGAAUCAUCGAAUCUUUGAACGCACCUUGCGCUCCUUGGUAUUCCGAGGAGCAUGCCUGUUUGAGUGUCAUUAAUAUUAUAUAUCAAACCCUCUUUUGUUGAGUGGGUUUGGAUGUGGGGUUGCUGGCCUCUUUCGAAGGGGUCAGCUUCUCUGAAAUGCAUUAGCAGAACAACCUGUUUGUUCAUUGGUGUGAUAACUAUCUACGCUAUUGAACCAUGAAGGCAGUUCAGCUUCCUAACCGUCUUUGGACAACUUAUCAAUCUAUAUGUGACCUCAAAUCAGGUAG